CCUGUCUGAUUUCCGAGAGAUACAGAAAAGAGUGAGUGAGAGAGAGAGCAAGAGAAAGAAAAAAAAAAAAACGUACCCUAAUGGGAAGGGAUUAGGGAAGUGGAAGAGGGAGUGGGUUAUUGGGAGAAAGACGCAUAUGAAGGAAUUAGGUGCUAAAAGAGAUAUGGGUGGGCAUCCAUGAUAUUAAGCAGCCCAGCCAUAUGAAUUCCUCAGUGGCUCUCUUGAACCGAUAAAUGGACCAUCUGGGAGAAGGAGAAUGAAGAAGCACCCUGCCUUGUCAGGCAUUGCCAGGGACAAUCAUAGUGGCAUUUAAAGGGGAUGAAACUCCCAUUUAAAGCAUUGAAGAUCACCAAGACAGAAAGCAAGGGCUGCAGCUUUUAAAGCCUGGAACAGUAUGUGGGGAAUCUCAAGAUGUCUUUCUUGAAGUUCCAUUGCCCUGCUGUGUGACCUUCAUCAAGCCCUUGGCCUCUGCAUCUCCAGCCAGUACAUGUUCAAAUCCUACCAGUAUCACAAAUUAUAUUUGUUCACCUUGUCAAGAUUCUCUUCAUAACCCAAUUGAGAGGGAUUCAAAUUUGGAAAGGGGAGAUUUAAAUGGCAAAGAAAAAAAGUGCCCAUUUAGGUGAAGGAGGAUGAAGAAUAAGAUGGAGGCAGAAGUGGCGAAGACAGCAGACUACAGAUGUAGUGUUUAGAAGAUGAGUGAGUUUGGUAUUGACCCAAAGGACUCUAGAAUCUGGGAGCCUGAAGAGAGCAAGUAUUUAUGGCAAUAGCCAAAUAUUAAGGAACGAAGGAAGAAAAUGAGGAGAAGCAACUCAAAAAUCAUAGGAGAGUAGGGCCACUAUGGAGAAGGAACAAUCCUAUGUCUCUUAGGGUCUCCAGAGAGCAUCACUGCAUUGAAGUCUAGUAAGCAAAUUCACGCUUGUUUGUAAGAAUAAGAUGAGAAC